AAAAAACCAGAAUAGAGAGAGAACAAAAAACGAGGAGGCUUAGAUCUGUGAUGGGACACAAAAUUAGAAAGGAGAGAGAUAUAUAAUGAGAGAAGAUAAAAAAUCUGGGGAAUAAGAAUAAGGUCAAAUAAAUUAAGAAUAGGAGUUGAAAAGCAGAGGGAUUUGGAGAUGGAGACGGAAAAGAGAGUCUGAAAAUAGAGGAAAAGCAGCUGCAACUGCCUUCUUCUUGUUCCUCGAUACAUUCACCUCCAUUAAAACUCACCCCAAACCAGUUGAAAUUCCAUGAAAAUUCAGCCACAAAUACCAGUCCCAAACAGCCUCCUAAAACCCCAUCAAACAUUCCAAACUUCAGUCAUCUUCCUCACUAGCCCACAACAUCUUUUCACCAUUGUUGCACCUUGAAUAACCCUCAAACCAGCCCAACCAGACGCGGUAAAAACGAGCAAAAAAUCCAGCGAAACAGUAUCUUUGUUGACAAGUCAUUUUCUGAGCCCAACUUAAUAUACUCACCUGACCCGGUCCGACCCAGGUAAGUAUAUUUGUAUAUACUCUGUAACUCUGUAUAGGGGAACCAUCGAGAACAUUAGACUUUACUUUUCCUUUUCCCAAAACUGACUCUUCGUUUCUCUCAAUCUUCUCCUCCUUCUCUCUACUUUCUCUCUCUAAUUUUCUGUGAUUUCUCACCCAGGUAAGUAUAUUUGUAUAUACUCUGUAACUCUGUGUAGGGGAACCAUCGAGAACAUCAGACUUUACUUUUCCUUUUCACUCUUUGUUUCUCUCAAUCUUCUCUUCCUUCUCUCUACUUUCUCUCUCUAAUUUUCUGUGAUUUCUCUCGUAUAAUCUCAACAUUUACAAUCUUUCGCAUAGAAAACUGCAACUCCAAGGUUGAGUCGUCGAGGUUGUCUUCGAGUUUUCCGGCGUCGAUUUCGGUCUAUGUUCGCACCAAAUAAUUGCUGCUGUAGAAGUUUUGCUAAAGGAUUAUUUUAAUGAGGAAAGCUAUUCUCAAGGUUCAUUUCCAAAUCUCCUUUCAUUUCAUUAGUUUUUUUUGUAUUUCCUUAGAUAUUUUUGUGACGUAGCUGUGAUACGUAAUUUUAAAUUUGGGUGUGCAUUUAUGUGACACAAAUCCAAAUCUCAACAACGUUAGAUAAAAUGUGUCGUGAACCGCGGGUGCAUUUAUGUGACGUGGUUCAAGACAUGUUUUAAAUAACGUUGCAAUUUUCUUCAAAAAUGAAUAAAAGCGGUUAAAAGUUUAAAAAUGCACAUGGGUAUAAAAAUGUAUUAAAAUCAGAUAAUUAAACCGAAUAUAACAGUUGAGCGACCGUGCUAGAACCAUGGAACUCAGAAAUGCCUAACACCUUCUCCCGGGUUAACAAAAUUCCUUACCCGGAUUUCUGACUCGCAGACUGUAUUACAGAGUCAAACCUUUCUCGAUUCGGGAUUUUAAACCGGUGACUUGGGACACCAUAAAUUAUCCCAAGUGGCGACUCUGAAAUCUUUAAAUAAAUAAAUCCCGUUUAGAUUGUCCUUUAAUUGGAAAAACACCCUUAUCUACGCUUCCUUCCGGGUGUAAUGAAAAAGGAGGUGUGACAAUUAUUAUUUGUGGAACUACUCUCCCAUGUGAUGUGAGGGCAUGUAAUUCAUGAAGGAAAGGUAAGUCUUGACCUCUGUAUAGAGUAAUUUGAGUAAGUAUGAAUAUUGCACGGCACGUAAGAGUCUCUUGAGGCAAAGAUGGUACACUACUACACGUAACUUUGGUGAUUUGUUCUUGGUAUGAUACGUUAAGGAAAAAGUUUAGUGAAGGAACCUUUAUAAAGUAUGGUGGAUUUCUCGAGGACUAGCAAUUAUUUAAGUGGGGUGUUGAUAAUAGGCUAGAUUUGUGUAGUUUGGCAACUAUUUAUGCCCCAACUUGAAUAUGCUUUACUGUUCUAGGAUGGUUAAAUGACGAUAAAUUGGCUCUAAUUGUGAAUUUUAUGUUUUACAGGAGCGAGUUGUGCUUAUGGAGACUUAGGACAAUGCUUGGAGCUAAACUGAAGCAAGGAAAGUCCCUCGGAGCUAAGGACGUAUGAACGAAUAAAGAAAAGAAGAGAUGAAAUGCUAAACCAUCUUAGCGCGACCACGCUAGUCCAAAAAAUCGAGGCAGAACACUAAGUAAUAUGCGUGGUCAUUAGCACAAUUCGAGCGCGGUCGUGCUAGUCCAGUCCAGAGCGUAUAAGUUUAGGGGUAAACUUGAAAGUUUGGGGGUAAUUCCAGUUAACCUAUAAAAUAUCCAACUCGCCCAAAGGGACAUUAUCAAGGGUUUUACAAAAUAGUUGAAGGCAAGAAGAGGCAAGAGGCAAGGAGGAUAAUUCGACAUCGAGUUAUACCCUUAUUCCUUUUGUAUUUAUCAUUUAUGAUAAAUUUUGCUGUUGUUAGCAUGAAUACGAUUAUGAGUUUGAGCACGUGAUUUUUUCCCUAUAUGAAUUAUUCCCAUAAUUUCAAAAUAAAAUAACUUUUUCAUUAUUUGUAAUUUUGUGAAUUUUGUGGCAUUUCUUGUAAUUGUUUUCAUUUGUCUAUGCAUUUUUAUUUUUGUUUAAUUAAUGAAAAAUACAAAUAUAUGUGCACUUAUAUUUAGGGUCCUAUUUUAUAUUUU
rnacentral:lncRNA from 1 species